UAAAACAACCGAUCUUAAAAGUUAACUUUUAAAAUUGAUUAUUUAACCGAUUUUAAAAGUAUAACUUUUAAAAUCGGUUACGGAA
rnacentral:miRNA from 1 species